UCCGCUGGAAACUGGUAGGUUUACGUACUCCUGCAGGCGGCGCACAGGACAGUAGGAAAUUCAACGUUUGUGUUAUGUGCAUAGAGAGCGUGGGUAGGUAGCCCAGAUGAACAUAUUAUACGAACGGGUAUACAUAUGUAUAUGCACACGACGUAUUUACAUGGGUAACACGCGAAGGGGUGUACGAAGCGAAUGCAACGCGGUAUAGGUGGUCGGAGUUUCAGUUCGUUGUGCAGUUCAAUUUCGCCGCUUCUGCGAGAGGAAAACAAUCAUUUAGUAAUCGCGAGAGCCAGAGGUAUGUACGUACGUCCUACGGGGGUAUGUGUGACCGGUAUAUAAUGUAUACCUAGAUACACGUAUCCGUAUAGUUUAAUAUACAGUGUCCCGGCGUACCAACUCGGCUCGACUCGCGUCCAGGUGGCACGUGCACUGGAAGUGUUAUACGGAGGUGUAUAUAUAUAUUACGAUAAAUCUCCAGGUAAUUACCGAAUUAAAAUCGAGACAGUCAAUUACUUGCUAAAAUUCGAGGUUUGCGUAUAAGGCAACCGUACGUAAUAAGGUAUACGGUCGUAACGCAGUAAAUUUCAACUAGAUUCCCACACCUGUAUGUACGUACACUCGGAUAAAUAGCGUCACACCUUCUCUGACAAGGACGCGAGUUCUCGCGCACUUGAAACGUUCGGAUGUACAGCGUUAUUCCUUUUUAUCACUAGACAACGAGGUGACGUUCGAUUCGCUUCCGUUUUCCGAACAGGGAUACGUGAAGUUGAAACGCUUGUGGAGCGACCGGAGAGAAAGAAAAAAAAAAACAAAAAAAAUGAGGGAGGGAUAAAAAAUUAUUCAAAAAAAGUAUGCGAGGGUAAAGUUAAGGGUAUCGCCGUGCACGCUUGAAGAAUGAAACACAAGCAGAACUCGUUGUCGGGACAAUUGGCAAACUUUUCAAAUAUUCAUCACCUACGCAGGUACAGGGUAAACCCUCGCCGCUUUGAAAUAUACGACCCCUGAUAAAUGCUAUUGUACGCGAUGUUCAGGAAUUCUUUACCUUGGACACGGUAGAGAGGAGAAAAAUGGAACGAAACAACAAAAUAAAAUAAUAAAAAAAAAAAAGGAGCGACGCGAGGAAAUGAAGGGAUGGAAAUUGAGAUAGCUGGUUACUCCCGAGAGAGCAUUUACUCGUUCUGAUGUUGAACGAAAUAAAAAAUUUUAACAAUGAAAAAAAAAA